rnacentral:lncRNA from 1 species
UUAGUGCCUAACAAUCCUAAUUCUAUGGAAAACUCGAUGGGUCAUAGAAUCAAGUCAAAUCUUGAGUUAAAAUUUUAGAAUCUUGUGGAGUCAGUGAUUUCAAUGUACGAUGUCACUUUAAAUGUUUCAGGAAAUAGUUCAUAAAAUCUUACCAUUUUGCGAGUUAAAUUUAUGAUUACGAUUUGUGCAGACUGACAAGGCAUCAGUACU